UAUUUUUUUAGAUUCUUUUUUAUUGUUGAAAAAAUUAAAAACAAAUUGUUUUUUACAAUAAUUAAAAUUUAUAAUAUUUCAAUUUUUAAUUUUUAGUUUUAAAUAAAAAUUACAAAUAUGAAAAAUAAAAAAAUUUUGUUAUAAAUUAAAUUAAUUUAUUUAUAUUAAAAAUAUUUUUUAUAAUUUU
rnacentral:rRNA from 1 species